rnacentral:rRNA from 1 species
GGAUUAGAUACCCUAGUAUAGUUAUAGGAGAGGGAAUAAGUAUAUUAUAUUGAAAAUUAAUGAUUUUGGCGGUUGAUUAAUUUUAUUAGAGGAGCUUGUUUUGGAAAAGUAUUUACUCUUUAUAUUUAUAAAUUUAUUUGUUUAUUCAUCUCCGUUAUUAGGUAUUUUUAUGUUGAAGAAGAUUUUUUUUUGAUUUCAGGUCAAGAUGUAGCAUUAUCUUUAAAUAAAAAUUAGCUAAAAUAAUUAUUUUAGUAUAUCUCUUUAGGUAAUAUUUGAGUGAAGUAAAUUUAAUUGUAAUAGUAUUUAUAGAGGUAUUAUGAAUUUAUUUAAUUAAUGUACAGAUUGCCCGUCACCUUCGUAUUAUAGAUAGAAUAAGUCGUAACAUAGU